rnacentral:misc_RNA from 1 species
AAAGUGCGAUAAGUAAUGUGAAUUGCAGACCUUGUGAAUCAUCGAGUCUUUGAACGCAAGUUGCGCUAUCCUGUUGAGGGAUAGCAUGUUUGUAUGAGGGUUGUUAACCAACAACAGAUGGAAUGAGGCUUUUUCUUUACACAAGGGGAAUGCCUUGAAAUACAAAACCCAUGAUAAUGCAUUUGAUUUCUUAUCCACUUUUUAUUAGGUGGGGGGAAAACGGAAUAUGUCCAAACUAAAAACAUUUUAUGGUUUUUUCUUUCUUUUGAAGUAGUCUUCUUUUUAAGAGGAUGAAACAAGAGAAAGUUGAAUCAUAUUUGGAUGUCCUCUCCUUCUUUUAGAGGUGAGAUGACAAACACUUUUUAGUUUUAGUGUUCCAAUUCAUUUUAAAUGCAACCUC